rnacentral:rRNA from 1 species
CCUACGGGAGGCAGCAGUGGGGGAUAUUGCACAAUGGGGGGAACCCUGAUGCAGCGACGCCGCGUGGGUGAAGGAGUGCUUCGGCAUGUAAAGCCCUAUCGGCAGGGAAGAAGCAAGACGGUACCUGACUAAGAAGCCCCGGCUAACUACGUGCCAGCAGCCGCGGUAAUACGUAGGGGGCGAGCGUUAUCCGGAUUCACUGGGUGUAAAGCGCUCGUAGGCGGUAUGUCAAGUCAAGGGUGAAAUCCCCGCGUGCAACGUGGGAACUGCCUUUGAAACUGGCAAACUGGAGUGUGUGAGAGGAUAGUGGAAUUCCAGGUGUAGGAGUGAAAUCCGUAGAUAUCUGGAGGAACAUCAGUGGCGAAGGCGACUAUCUGGCACAUAACGGACGCUGAGGAGCGAAAGCGUGGGUAGCAAACAGGAUUAGAUACCCUUGUAGUC